GAGACUCUGUGCGCGUGCAUAUCAAUAAGCGGAGGAAAAGAAACUAACAAGGAUUCCCCUAGUAACGGCGAGUGAAGCGGGAAGAGCUCAAAUUUGAAAUCUUAAAGGGUUUCCCUUUACGAAUUGUAGUUUAAAGAAGUGUUUUCUGUUGGAGUUUCGGUAAAAGUUCUUUGGAAUAGGACAUCAUAGAGGGUGAGAAUCCCGUAUUUGACCGUUACUUUCCAGCUGUGUGAUACACUUUCAAAGAGUCGGAUUGUUUGGGAAUGCAGUCCAAAAUGGGUGGUAAAUUUCAUCUAAAGCUAAAUAUUGGCGAGAGACCGAUAGCGAACAAGUACCGUGAGGGAAAGAUGAAAAGAACUUUGAAAAGAGAGUUAAACAGUACGUGAAAUUGUCAAAAGGGAAGCGUUUGACACCAGUGUUGUUUAGUUGAAAAUCAAUUCAAUAAUUUUUGAUUUUGAGUAGUAUUGACUUCAUCAGCUUGCUGCUUUCUUUUCCGAAAUUAUUGAAUGCACUUUUCAGUUAACAAGUCAACAUCAGUUUCUUUUGUUGUAAAAGGGUAAGAGGAAGGUGGCUUACGCUUCGGCGUAAGUGUUUAUAGCCUUUUACCUCUGCAAUCGGAGAGAUUGAGGACAGCAGCGUAGACUCUUCGGGGUUAGAUACACUUGUGCUAAGCUAUAGCCUUGUAUAGACAACUUGUUGACUAUGCUCAGUCAUGUAGCUUACUCGCUUGUGCUAUUUUACCUACGCUUAGGAUGUUGACAGCAGUAUAGACUGU
rnacentral:rRNA from 1 species